rnacentral:rRNA from 1 species
UACAGAGGGUGCAAGCGUUGUCCGGAAUUAUUGGGCGUAAAGCGCGCGCAGGCGGUUCUUUAAGUCUGAUGUGAAAGCCCACGGCUCAACCGUGGAGGGUCAUUGGAAACUGGAGAACUUGAGUACAGAAGAGGAAAGCGGAAUUCCACGUGUAGCGGUGAAAUGCGUAGAGAUGUGGAGGAACACCAGUGGCGAAGGCGGCUUUCUGGUCUGUAACUGACGCUGAGGCGCGAAAGCGUGGGGAGCAAACAGG